rnacentral:rRNA from 1 species
UGCAUGAAGCCGGAAUCGCUAGUAAUCGCAGAUCAGAAUGCUGCGGUGAAUACGUUCCCGGGUCUUGUACACACCGCCCGUCACACCAUGGGAGUCGAUAACGCCCGAAGUCAGUGACCCAACCGAGAGGAGGGAGCUGCCGAAGGCGGGAUGGAUAACUGGGGUGAAGUCGUAACAAGGUAAC